UUGAACGCUGGCGGUAUGCUUAACACAUGCAAGUCGAACGGAAACGAUACUAGCUUGCUAGUAGGCGUCGAGUGGCGGACGGGUGAGUAACGCGUAGGAAUCUGCCUGAUAGUGGGGGAUAGCCCGAAGAAAUUCGGAUUAAUACCGCAUAAUCUAUUCGUAGUAAAGUGGGGGACUUUCGAGCCUCACGCUAUCAGAUGAGCCUGCGUAAGAUUAGCUAGUUGGUAGGGUAAAAGCCUACCAAGGCUACGAUCUUUAGCUGGUCUGAGAGGAUGAUCAGCCACAUCGGGACUGAGACACGGCCCGAACUCCUACGGGAGGCAGCAGUGGGGAAUAUUGGACAAUGGGGGCAAUCCUGAUCCAGCAAUACCGCGUGUGUGAAGAAGGCCUGAGGGUUGUAAAGCACUUUCAAUUGUGAAGAAAAGUUAACGGUUAAUAACCGUUAGCCUUGACGUUAACUUUAGAAGAAGCACCGGCUAACUCCGUGCCAGCAGCCGCGGUAAUACGGAGGGUGCAAGCGUUAAUCGGAAUUACUGGGCGUAAAGCGUGCGUAGGCGGUUUAUUAAGUCAGAUGUGAAAGCCCCGGGCUUAACCUGGGAACUGCAUUUGAAACUGGUCAACUAGAGUAUGGUAGAGGAAAGUGGAAUUUCUGGUGUAGCGGUGAAAUGCGUAGAUAUCAGAAGGAACAUCAAUGGCGAAGGCAGCUUUCUGGACCAAUACUGACGCUGAGGUACGAAAGCGUGGGUAGCAAACAGGAUUAGAUACCCUGGUAGUCCACGCCGUAAACGAUGAUAACUAGCCGUUGGGGGGAUUUACCCUUUAGUGGCGAAGCUAACGCGUUAAGUUAUCCGCCUGGGGAGUACGGCCGCAAGGUUAAAACUCAAAGGAAUUGACGGGGACCCGCACAAGCGGUGGAGCAUGUGGUUUAAUUCGAUGCAACGCGAAGAACCUUACCUGGUCUUGACAUCCUGCGAACUUUCUAGAAAUAGAUUGGUGCCUUCGGGAACGCAGUGACAGGUGCUGCAUGGCUGUCGUCAGCUCGUGUCGUGAGAUGUUGGGUUAAGUCCCGUAACGAGCGCAACCCCUAUCCUUAUUUGCCAGCACGUCAUGGUGGGAACUAUAAGGAGACUGCCGGUGAUAAACCGGAGGAAGGCGGGGACGACGUCAAGUCAUCAUGGCCCUUACGACCAGGGCUACACACGUGCUACAAUGGGAAGGACAAAGAGCCGCGAAGCCGCGAGGUGUAGCUAAUCUCAGAAACCUUUUCGUAGUCCGGAUUGGAGUCUGCAACUCGACUCCAUGAAGUCGGAAUCGCUAGUAAUCGUAGAUCAGAAUGCUACGGUGAAUACGUUCCCGGGUCUUGUACUCACCGC
rnacentral:rRNA from 1 species